CCUGAUAACGUGGAUGAGGAUGAAGCUGAGAAUUAUGAUGACGCCAUUACAGCUGAUCAGAAGUCAGUUCUACUGACAGAGGACGUGUGUGAGAACUAUGAUGAUGCAGUUACUGCUGAAACAAACCCAAACAUCAUCACAGAAGAUGAAGAUGAAGAUGAUGAUGAUGAUGUGAUCAGUGAGGAACAGGAUGUAGGAGAGACAGGAAAAUGUGAUGAGGUGGAGGAGAAAUCUCAGAAAAACAGGGACCAUGUGACUGAGACACGCCACCAAAGGCCUUUUCUCAGGAAAUUACAUUUCAACUUUUACAAAGACAAAAAAUGAUUUGAUUCUACUUCCAAUAAUGUCAUGUUUUCUGAAUGGUGUUGAUUCUCCCCCUAGUUAUUAGUAAAUAGAGUAGUGAGAGUUCAAUCCCUUUCAUAUGACUUCAUGCAAAAUCUCCAGCUUUUCCUUUCCUACACUUUUAAUGCUAUAAGUCAACUUCAAUAUCACUGUCACACCACAACUCAUUUAUCACAACAAUUCUUUCAUCAAAACUGCUCUGAUUUUCAUCUUCAUGUUUUCCAUUCAUCAACUUCUUAUUCAGUGUGUUUAGAAAUGUGUUAGUGACUAUAAACCACUUCACAACUAACAACAAGCUUUUUAUUCCUUAAAACUAUACUUUUUUAUUCAGUUCAAACAAAAACACAUUUACAUUUCUGUUCAAUUCUGUGUUUUUAAAUCCAAACUAUAGAAUUCAAUU